AGUUGGCUGCCUUCUAGUUAUAGUUAAGCUAACUGUAACUAUAGCUUUUUCUCUGUGGCUGCACAUCUCUGGUGCUUUUUCCUCUAAAAAGGAACCUAGUCAUAUGGAAUAAGGGCCCCAGCCAUAUGACCUGUUUUAAUUUUUAUUACAUUUCUAAAGGCUUUAUCUCCAAAUGAGGUCACAUGGGGGAUUAUGGUUUCAACAUAUGAAUUUUGAGGGGGUAUAAUUCAGUAUACAAUAAUAAGUAUAUGCAAUUUGAGAUAAUAUGAUUAUUUGAUUUUAAAUAUACAUUUUCAUAUUUAGAAAAUGAGAGAUAGUUAGAAAUUUACAUAAAAUGUCUGACAAUGACUGUUGAACCAUAAUCUAUUUUUAAUAUAUUAUUUUUAUUCCUCUAUUUUGCUGCAGUAUGGAUAAGUAAAGUUAAUUAACACAGAUGUAUAACCAGAAGUGAAAUUGCUAGAUAAUAUGGAAUGGAAGGAUCAGUGCAAAAGGCUACCUGGCUGGCUUUGGGGAUCAUUCCUUUUACGCGAAGAAAAACAUAAAACACAUCUAUUUAAGUAAUCCAGAGUACUUUGCCCAAUUGCUAUUCAGGUAUUCAUUUCUAUAAGAAAUAUUACUCACAGCCACAGUGCCAUACUAAUAGCACCCUGUGGUAACAUACACAUCAGGACAAAGCUGAGGCAUUUCUGGAAAAGAAACAUUAAGGAUAUUGUGAAACCAUGAUUUUCAAAGCUUGAGAUCAUUAUCUC
rnacentral:lncRNA from 1 species